CCACGGCGGUUGUAGUGUUCUCAUUCUCGUUGCGGCUUUGCUCAUUCUCAUUUCCCAGGUCCCAGCCUUGCUUGCAAUUUCAGACUCUCCCUCAUUUCACCUCUCUCUCUCUCUCUCUCUCUCUCACGCAAAUUGUAGCAAGCCUCAGUCCUACCUACUCUCUAAUCUCACAGCGACGCAAAAGCAGGCAAUCCAAAUCUAGUGAAUGCAUGAUAUACUAGGGAAUAGCUUAAGAAGAGUUUGAGGGAUAAAACAACAAAGACAGAUGUGGGUGCAGCGUGCUAAACCAUUUAGGCAGAUAAGGGCCUUGAGUCAGUCUUUUAAGUCUCCAUGGAUUUUUUCGAUAUCGUCUUCCUACUCAGAUACUCCUCACAAGAAGUCGAAGCUUGCCCCUCUACAGGAAAGGAAAAUGAUAGACAGGUUUAGGCUAUAUGCUAAAGGGGGCGGUGGUGGCAGUGGUUGCUCCAGCUCUCGCCGUAGUCGCCAUGACCGCCAUGGCAUACCUGAUGGUGGGAAUGGUGGAAGAGGUGGUGAUGUGAUUUUGGAAUGUUCUCCAACAGUUUGGGACUUCAGUGGUUUGCAACCUCACCUUAUAGCACAGAGAGGGGGACAUGGAUCCUCGAAGAAUAAAAUUGGCACCCGAGGAGCGGAUAAGGUUUCCCAAGUGCCCAUUGGUACAGUGAUUCAUCUUAUGAAGGGUGAAAUUCCUUUUGUUGCUGAUAGCCAUGUUUCUAAAGAUUUGGAUCCAUGGGAGCUUCCAGGUACUCCUAUUGAUGAUGUAACUCGCUCUGACCAGCAAUCUGCCCCUAGUGGUCCAAAUAUGGCAGUGGAUACUGGGGGUAGCUCAUCAUCUCGACCUGAAAGAAUUGUUGAGGAAUCAGUUCUCAUGAAGGAAAUCUCCCAAGUUGAAUCCACUGAGGUUCCUACUCAAUCUCCACCUUCUUUGUCUGAGAUUUGCACAGAAGACGAGACAGAGGAAGAAGAACAAAUUCAAUACAACGUUGCUGAGUUAACAGUAAGAGGUCAACGACUAGUUAUUGCUCGUGGAGCGGAAGGUGGUCUAGGUAGCGUGUCUCUCAAAGUCCCAAGGAAGUUCAAAACUGAUUCGUUAGAUGCUCAAGUAUCUGAUGAUGAUCAGUUGACCCUCGGUGCUGGUUUGCCUGGUUCUGAAGCUGUUCUCAUAUUAGAGCUAAAGAGCAUUGCUGAUGUGAGCCUAGUGGGAAUGCCGAAUGCUGGUAAAAGUACUCUAUUAGGGGCUAUAUCUAGGGCUAAGCCUGCAGUGGGCCAUUACGCCUUCACCACUCUUAGACCCAAUUUGGGGAACCUAAACUUUGAUGACUUUUCACUCACAGUUGCUGAUGUUCCUGGACUCAUAAAGGGUGCCCAUGAGAAUCGUGGACUUGGACAUGCAUUCCUUCGCCAUAUAGAACGCACAAAGGUUAUAGCUUAUGUGGUGGACUUGGCUGCUGGAUUGGAUGGUCGAAAAGGAACCCCACCUUGGGAACAGCUUAGAGAUUUGGUCUUAGAGCUUGAGUACCAUCAAGUGGGUUUAUCUGAUCGACCAUCACUCAUAGUGGCAAAUAAAAUAGAUGAGGAAGGGACUGAAGGCGUGCAUGAAGAACUGAAAAGAAGGGUGCAAGAUGUUCCUAUAUUCCCUGUCUGUGCUAUUUUGGGGGAAGGAAUUCAAGAGCUAAAGAUUGGUCUUAGGAAACUUGUGAAUGGUGAAAUGACAGACAGACUCCAGGUCGAUAAAAUUAUGGUUGAUUAAAGGUUCAUUGUUUGAGACCUGAGAAAAAUGUACAAACAAGCAAUCCAGGCUCUAUCUGCUGCAUGCAGAAUGACCAAUAGAGCUAUUUUUCUGAGGAUUUCAUGAUACUAAAAAGGAUGGUUCAUUUUGUUCCACAACAAGAUUCUACCCUCCUCUGUCUUGAUGGUUAGUGUUGAGCCUACAUUUCUCAUUGUUGGAUAGGAGAGGUUAGCUUCACGCAAGUGAUGAUUCCAUAUUACAUAGCUUUGAUAUUUAAUAUUCCAAAAGAUAUUGGCAAGUUAGAAACUUAGAACAUUUUAGAGGAAAAAUAAUUAAGAAGAAAAUAAAAGCAAAUGGAGAACCUUUUGUUUUAAAAGAGAAAAGAAAGAAAAAAGAAAUGUAGACCACUGGUGAAGAGAUUUGAAGAGAAUAUUUUUUCACUUUUGGAGUCACAAUUAAAGCAGGCUCCACAAUCAGGGGAUAGAAGCUCUUCAAGACCCACCAUAUGAAAAUGGUACAUCAACAAAAAAGUCCUAAUUAUCAUAUUUAGCUUAAGGCCAAAGUCAAAAAGUUUCAUGUUUGGCUACUUGCACCCCUAUACAUGAGAGAGACUAUCUAAAAUACAUCAAACAAAGCAAGUGGGAUUCUUUUUUUUUUUUUUUUUUUUUUUUGAAGAUGGACAGAUUUUGCAUAUAUCUUUGGAUAUAUACAUGAACAAAUGGGUGUCAAGAAAACUUGUGUUACUUUCUUUGAUGUGGUCGACUGUCUUAGAUAUUAGAGUAUGAAUAUAAGAAAAGAUUUCAUAUUAACAAAUUAAGGGACCCAGGACAAGAACAAUUCAAAUAUUUCUUUAAUUUGAUGUGUACAUCUUUGUCUGAGAAAAAGCAUGUUUCAUGCCUGUAGAUGCUAUGCCAGCUUAAGACAGUUUAUAGUGGCCAAAGAAAAACACAGGAUGAUAAUAUGUUUACAUUUUGACAAUUGUUUAAUUUAUCUUCAAGAUGAGGGUUCAUGAUUAUAGAUAAAUGUGUAUGUGACGAGGAGUAUUAUACUAUUCAAAUGUUAUCACAUAUUUAUUUUAUUAACAAAAAAAUAGAUGCUAAACUAGAAAAAUUAGGAACUCAUGUCACCACAGUAAAGAAAUGAUGCACGCGGAGCUGAAGUGAUGUAUCAUAUACAUAAAGGCACAGCUUUCAUUUUUCUGGGGUUCUUCUGGUAAACAUAAGUUGAUCGAAACAUUUUGGUUUAGGAAAUUACCCACAGAAAAUGACCGCUUAUGUGUGUUUGAUUGAUCUACCAAGGACUCUUAUUUAUGUGUAGUUGUGGCCAUAUUUUAGUCUUAAUUAUGGCUCUAUCAAUGGAAUGUCUGAAUCGUCACUUCUUUUUUAAUUUGAUUUUCUGAAUACUGCUAGCUUAGUUGACUUAAGGAAUAAGGACCAGCUUCAUAGUUCAUUAUCCAUGUUUUUUUUUCUUCCAACAACUCUUUGACUCAUUAGUUGCACUGUACCAAUGGAUUGUCUACUUAAGUACUUAUAGCUAAGCUACCUUUAGUCAGUUUAGUGCAUAAACAUGUGCUCUUCUUCUCAAAGGGGAACUUUUUCUCAACAAAAGAUAAACCAUUGCCCAUUAAAAAGAAAAAAUUCCUCUCAAAUAAUAAGAUAUGAUUGGACUUGAGUGGUGCACAUGAAUGCUGAGAAAUAUGUUCGGAUAUCUACUUAUAUUAAACACUAAAUAGCGUUGCUUUUAGAGUUAAUAUUCAUAUUGAAAAGACAAUUAAUUGGAGAGUUUUAUUGGUAUAGACACCGGAAAUUCUAAAAAUA